AAAAUAUAUACAAUAAGAAGACAUGAGCCACACCAUACAAAUAA
rnacentral:sRNA from 1 species